rnacentral:rRNA from 1 species
GACGAACGCUGGCGGCGUGCCUAAUACAUGCAAGUCGAACGGAGAGGCCCUGCCUUUGUGGGGUGCACGAGUGGCGAACGGGUGAGUAACACGUGAGUAACCUGCCCGUGACUUGGGGAUAACUCUUGGAAACUGGGGCUAAUACCGGAUAGCAGCUCAUGCUGCAUGGUGGGGGCUGGAAAGGUUCGGUGGUUGGGGAAGGAGUCGCGGCUUAUUAGCAUGUGGGUGGGGUUGUGGUAUACCCAGGCUUUGACGGGGAGCCGUCCUGAGAGGGUGACCGGCCACAUUGGGACUGGGGUACGGCCCAGACUCCUACGUGAGGCAGCGGUGGAGAAUAGUGCGCAAUACGCGGAAGCCGUAUACAACGACGCCGCGUGCGAAAUGACGGCCUUCAGGUUAUAAACCGCUUUCGCCUGUAACGUUCCGUGAGUGACGGUAAUUGAUAAGAAAGCACCGGCUAACUACGUG